rnacentral:lncRNA from 12 species
AGCGAGGGGUGGGCUCUGCACAGGGGCUGACUCUUCUCGCUUUUUUCGAGCUCCGCCAUUUCUCGGAAACCUCUUCUGAGGAGCGGCGGUUGUGCUGGACCCAGCCCGGGCAUCAGGACAAGCACCGGCUGCUGCCCUGGACCGCCGGGAGCUCGGGGUGAGCAGGAGCUGAGGGCGGUGGGAGCCUGGAAGGAGUCCAGGAUGGAGUCGGAACCCACGUGGAACCCCGGCAGGAGCCCGAGGCGGGCAAGAGAUGUUUGAGAGAGGCCCCGGGGCUGUGCGGGAAAAUUCACGUCGCCAGAGCCAUUUCUGGAUCAGGCCUGGCUGCCACCUGCAUCCCCUUGCUCAGCUGCUGAAUGAGCUGCACUCAGCAAGGUGUCGUGCAUGGGAAAAAGAUGGGAGUUGCUGCAGCACGUCAGAGGAGGAACGGCAUUUGUUUAAGCUGUAAUCUGCCAGGAACCCCGAAAACGUGUCCCAUUCUCAUCCUUUCUACUUUUUGACUGGAAUAUGAGCGAAUUUUUUAUUUCCGUUGUUAUUCAUUUUACCACUUUCUGUUACCAUCUAUUUGCCAAUAGCAAUUUGAGUAAUUUAAUUUUCUAGAAAUGCUGCUUUCUU